GAUUUCUGGUAUGGCGCACUUGGCCCGUCUCGGUUACGAGUUUGUGUGCCGGUGUGCGCCUGCCAUCUUUCUGGGGAAUUAUGUUAGCCUUCAUUGGUUGAUGUAACUAGCCAGAUCUUUUACUUUGAAAAAAUUAGAGUGUUUAAAGCAGGCUUGUUGCUAUGAAUACAUUAGCAUGGAAUAAUAAUUUAGGACUUUGGUCUUAUUUUGUUGGUUUCUAGGACUAAAGUAAUGAUUGAUAGGGACAGUUGGGGGUGCUAGUAUUCAGCGGCCAGAGGUGAAAUUCUUGGAUUCGCUGAAGACUAACUUAUGCGAAAGCAUU
rnacentral:rRNA from 1 species